rnacentral:rRNA from 1 species
UAACACAUGCAAGUCGAGCGGGGGAAGGUAGCUUGCUACCGGACCUAGCGGCGGACGGGUGAGUAAUGCUUAGGAAUCUGCCUAUUAGUGGGGGACAACAUCUCGAAAGGGAUGCUAAUACCGCAUACGUCCUACGGGAGAAAGCAGGGGAUCUUCGGACCUUGCGCUAAUAGAUGAGCCUAAGUCGGAUUAGCUAGUUGGUGGGGUAAAGGCCUACCAAGGCGACGAUCUGUAGCGGGUCUGAGAGGAUGAUCCGCCACACUGGGACUGAGACACGGCCCAGACUCCUACGGGAGGCAGCAGUGGGGAAUAUUGGACAAUGGGGGGAACCCUGAUCCAGCCAUGCCGCG